CCAUUUGCUCUCCUUCAAUUUUUCUGAUUUGUUCAAGUGGGUUUUGACCCAUUUUUCACCUCUGCCAAUUAUGUAUACACAAAUGUAUAUGUAUAUGGCUAUUUAUAAGUUGUAUAUCAACUUAAUUUCUUCUUCUGCAUCCUGUAUAUCAACUUCUGCCCUUGGAACGACAAAGUUGACUCGAUAAAGAAGAACACAAGUUGGGUUUUAUCCAGACUCGAAAUGCCAGUGAUAGGAAGAGUUUACAUGAACUCAUUGCAAGUGACACAUACAAAAGAAAAAUAAAAUCAUAUUAGCAUAGGACAAGAUUAUUCUAACACAUCUUAUUCUAGAAAAAAUAAAUUAAAAAUGAAUAGUAUUUAGAUUUCUAAACUCAAUCGACAAUCAUUUAUCAAUAGAAAUAUUAUGGACUAAUCAAAUAAUUCGAAUGACUUUGAAUUUGCAUUUUACUAGUUACAGUGAGAAGCAGGGACAAGUAUAUUGCUUUAAUGCAUACUCACAAAUACUACUAACCUUCAAGAGAACAAGCUAUACAUAUAUGUCACUCAAACAAAGAAUCCAAAGCUAAAGUAUAAUCCACACAUUUGAAGGUACAUAUGACAUACAAACUAUGAACAGAUUUUAGCUUCGAUCAAUUCUCAAGUUUCAUAUAUAUAACCUUACAUUAAUAUGCAAUUAAACUAACUAUGAAGAAUGUGGACAUAAUACGAACCAACAAAGGAUUUUAAACAAUCAACUGCUACCAUACUUCUAAACUACCACAUAUUCUAUCAAAAAAGCGAUUAAACUAACUAUGAAGAAUGUGGACAUAAUACGAACCAACAAAGGAUUUUAACAAUCAAUUGCUACCAUACUUCUAAACUACCACAUGUUCUAUCAAAACUCAUGGUCAAUUAGAAGACAUAGACUAACCUACACACAAUAAAAGAAACUUAGCGAUCAUAUAAAGAAGCGACAACAACCGGAGAAAAUGGUCUCGACAUACUUCACGACUCAUUAGUUGAAUACUAACAAGCCUAGGAACUAAAAACGAAAUUGAUAUAGAGAUUUUAAAGAGAUAAUAAUCAAACGAGAGAAGCAGAGAGACUCAAAAGAAGCAAGAACUAGAAAUAGGCUAAAGUUGGCGAGAAAACAAAACUCAACGUUCCAAGACAAGCUUGACCAUCAUCUAGUUAAAAGCUC
rnacentral:lncRNA from 1 species